rnacentral:tRNA from 1 species
ACCCAUAUAGCUCAGUUGGGAGAGCGUUAGACUAUAGACAGAAGGUUCCCUGGUUCGGUCCCGGGAUUCGGAA